rnacentral:lncRNA from 12 species
GAAGGAAAGAGUUUUGAUUAAAGAGGAGAGAAUGAGAAGAGGAGUGGCCUUGGGGCAAGGUAGAGGUGGACAGGUUUGCUGGAAGGUGGAGGAAGGGUGAUAGAAAGAGGUUGCCUAGGAUACAGUAAACACAGUUCUGUACCUCAGUGGAAGACACUGGAAGCACAAUCUCUGAGCCAAUGCCAGGACUGCCUUUGCCACAAUAUUCCAGGUUGCUGAUGUCUGCUUUCAAGGAGUGAAUUAUGCCAUUAGGCUCAACGAGGCUGCCAGAGCAAACCGACUGCGUGGUGCAGGCCAGGCAUGGGAGUAAUAAAGUGCACGCUUCUAGUGGAAAGGAGACGCUCGAGUGGGAGCUGUUUCACGGCGAAUUGAUGUUUACUCAGUUCUUCAUACACACAAACUUUCAAGACUAG